CUUCAUUCAAUCGAGACGGUGUAAUGGCAAGAGUAUCAGAUCUUGCACUUCUUCUUGUUGCUGGAUUGACCAUCUCUUUAUACAUGCAAGAGGCGAGGGCAGUUAAGUUUGAUAUACGAAACCAGUGCAGGUACACAGUUUAGGCAGCAGGACUACCCAGAUUAGGAGGGCAGCAGCUGGACCAGGGUAUGACGUGGAUGGUGGAUGUGCCGGCUGGGACACAGGCGGGAAGAUUCUGGGACGUGUCUAUUCUGGUUUCAAAAAGGCAGUAUGGAGGGACUAACACGCGUGUUAGUCGCGCGUUUUACACUGUCGAUUUUGCAUUUAACGGUCGCGAUUGACUAACCUGUCACUACCACACUGUACGAAAGGUCUGUUUUGAAGCCAGAAUAGCCGCGGCCAAGAUUCUGGGCCCGAAACGGCUGCUCUUUCGAUGCGAGCGGACGAGGAACCUGUCAAACCGGUGACUGCGGCGGCCAACUGAGUUGCCAAGUCUCGGGAGCCGUUCCAGCCACGCUGGCCGAGUAUACCCUGAAUGGAAAUGGCAACAUGGACUUCUACGACGUCUCCCUGGUAGAUGGCUUCAACAUUCCUCUUUCAAUCAAUCCCACCAAUUCACAGUGCGUCGCCUCUGCCUGCAAAGCCGACAUCAAUGCUGUGUGCCCCGCUGAAUUGAAGGUGGACGGAUGAUGUAAGAGUGCCUGCGCUGCCUUUCAAACAGACGAGUAUUGCUGCAGAGGCGCCUAUGUUGAUAACUGCUCUGCCACAAACUACUCGGCGAUGUUCAAGAACCAGUGCCCUCAGGCCUAUAGCUAUGCCAAGGACGAUUCUUCCAGCACUUUCACUUGCCCUUCUGGUACCACCGACUACAGUAUUGUAUUCUGUUCCUAGAUAUAUAUAGGAUCAUACUCAUUGCAACCUACAAAUAAUCAGCUAUGAGCAUAUCACCCCGUCUUUAGAUAUAUAUCUGAUAUAUGGCAGCAUAAAGUAUCAUUUGGUGUAAGGCAUUACAUGCCUGUUUUAAGUCUGACAGGUUAUUAUAAAUAAAAAGUUCAAUAGUAUUUUAA